CCCAGUAAAGCCAAGAAAAGCAGAGCUCCCGUCUCGUACCUUUUGCAUCAUGAUUUAACAAGUACAACCAAGCAAAAAGCAUUUUAGUUUGGCCCCCCGAAACCAAGUGAGCUACUCCAAGACAACCUAUAAUUAGGGUAAACCCGUCUCUGUGGCAAAAGAGUGGGAAGAGCUUCGAGUAGAGGUGAUAGACCAAUCGAACUUGGUAAUAGCUGGUUGCUUGAGAAAUGAAUAGAAGUUCUGCCUCUUACAUUCUCACCUCAAACCCGGGCAAUAACAGCCCGACCCACAGGUAAAUGAAGGCAAGAGAGUUAAUCAAAGGGGGUACAGCCCCUUUGAGACAAAAUACAACUUUCCCAGAAGGGUAAAGAUCAUAAUUUUUAAGGUAACUAUGUUUUGGUGGGCCUAAAAGCAGCCACCCCAUUAGAAAGCGUUAAAGCUCUAACAUACCUCCUCCCUCGAUCCCGAUAACAAAUCUUAACCCCCUAGAUAUAUCAAGCCGUCCCAUGAACACAUGGGAGUGAUUAUGCUAAAAUGAGUAACCAGAGAACACCACUUCUCUCCCUGCACACGUGUAAAUCGGAGCGGACCCCCCACCGAAAUUUAACGGCCCCAAAUAACAGAGGGCAUUGAAUGAUAAACAACAAACAAGAAAAUCAUCCAAAAUAAUACCGUUAACCCCACACUGGUGUACUACAAGGGAAAGACCAAAAGGAAAAGAAGGAACUCGGCAAACACCCCUAAGCCUCGCCUGUUUACCAAAAACAUCGCCUCUUGUUAACUACACAUAAGAGGUCCUGCCUGCCCUGUGACCCCUGGUUCAACGGCCGCGGUAUUUUGACCGUGCAAAGGUAGCGCAAUCACUUGUCUCUUAAAUGAGGACCUGUAUGAAUGGCACAACGAGGGCUUAACUGUCUCCUUUCCCCGGUCAGUGAAAUUGAUCUUCCCGUGCAGAAGCGGGGAUCCUAACAUAAGACGAGAAGACCCUAUGGAGCUUUAGACUCCAAAACAGAUCAUGUAAACUACCCCCAUAAAAUAGGUAAUAACUAUUGAAUCUCUGUUUCCCUGUCUUUGGUUGGGGCGACCACGGGGAAGAAAAAAACCCCCAUGUGGACCAGGAGCACAUACUCCUACAACCAUGAGCCACAGCUCUAAUGCACAAAACCUUUGACCAUUAGAUCCGGCAAAGCCGAUCAACGGACCAAGUUACCCUAGGGAUAACAGCGCAAUCCCCUUUAAGAGUUCAUAUCGACAAGGGGGUUUACGACCUCGAUGUUGGAUCAAGACAUCCUAAUGGUGCAGCCGCUAUUAAGGGUUCGUUUGUUCAACGAUUAAAGUCUU
rnacentral:rRNA from 1 species